rnacentral:rRNA from 1 species
CCAGGCCUUGACAUGCAGAGAACUUUCCAGAGAURGAUUGGUGSCUUCGGGAACUCUGACACAGRUGCUGCAUGGCUGUYGUCAGCUCGUGUCGUGAGAUGUUGGGUUAAGUCCCGUAACGAGCGCAACCCUUGUCCUUAGUUACCAGCACGUUAUGGUGGGCACUCUAAGGAGACUGCCGGUGACAAACCGGAGGAAGGUGGGGAUGACGUCAAGUCAUCAUGGCCCUUACGGCCUGGGCUACACACGUGCUACAAUGGUCGGUACAGAGGGUUGCCAAGCCGCGAGGUGGAG